GCGUAUAUCCUGAGAAAAGAGCUCCCGGAGGAUGAGGAAGAGGCUCGACAGAUCGUCCGUCGAUCUAAGGCCUUUACCGUAAUCAAAGGACAAUUGUACAGAGAAAGCGCGACUGGAGUUGGUCAGAAGUGCAUAACACCAGAAGAAGGUCGACUCAUCCUCAAUGAUAUCCACUCGGGGACCUGUGGUCAUCAUGCGUCCUCUCGAACCAUCGUGGCCAAAGCAUACCGAGCCGGAUUUUACUGGCCAAAGGCGAAUGAGAUGGCAAAAGAGAUAGUGGAUAAGUGCGAGGGAUGUCAGUUCUACUCGAAUAUGUCGCACAAGCCUGCGUCAGCUCUGAAGACUAUCCCACUCGUUUGGCCUUUCGCAGUAUGGGGACUGGACAUGGUCGGUCCUUUGAGAACAGGACGAAGUGGCUUCACGCACGUACUGGUGGCAGUCGACAAGUUCACCAAGUGGAUCGAGGCUAAACCAAUCAAGAACCUUGACACCGGUACUGCUGUUAGUUUCAUCAGGGAACUAAUAUUCAGAUAUGGAGUCCCGCAC
rnacentral:rRNA from 1 species